ACGUGGACAACCUAACCUAAGGAGGGGGAUAACCCCGGGAAACUGGGGAUAAUACCCCAUAGACUAUGGGUGCUGGAAUGCUCUGUAGUUGAAAGGUCCGCCGCCAUAGGAUGGGUCUGCGGCCGAUUAGGUUGUUGUUGGGGUAACGGCCCAACAAGCCUGUAAUCGGUACGGGUUGUGGGAGCAAGAGCCCGGAGAUGGAUUCUGAGACACGAAUCCAGGCCCUACGGGGCGCAGCAGGCGCGAAAACUUUACAAUGCGGGAAACCGUGAUAAGGGAACUCCGAGUGCCCGUAAAAUCGGGCUGUCCAUCAGUGCAAAUAACUGGUGAAGAAAGGGCCGGGCAAGACCGGUGCCAGCCGCCGCGGUAAUACCGGCGGCUCGAGUGGUGGCCACUAUUACUGGGCUUAAAGCGUUCGUAGCUGGUUUGUUAAGUCUCUGGGGAAAUCUGCCGGCUUAACCGGCAGGCGUUUCAGGGAUACUGGCAGACUAGGGACCGGGAGAGGUGAGAGGUACUCCAGGGGUAGGAGUGAAAUCCUGUAAUCCUUGGG
rnacentral:rRNA from 1 species